UACUCUGCGGGCGGUGCGUGCCAUUGACCGUCUCACUGCGUGUUUUCCAGCACGGUGUAUUAUUUUUAAAACAUUCGCCAGUUUGAAGGUGCAAAUAGUUUCUGUGAUAACAAGGGCAGUUCAGUGGUUUUCCGUAUUUUCUGUUUUCCACGAAUUUUAUCUAUUUCCUUUCUUCAUCUUCCUUUGGGGCUUUGGGGGAGCUGUUCACACGUGUUCCUGCGAGAAUCACCCGCUCAUCUGUUGGCGUGCCGGGGGACGGUAGCUUUUGAUUAUCCCCGGCAAAACACGCACACUUUUCACAGACGCUUAGCAGGGGAUCCUUUUCUCUGUUUUAAAAUGUGGUUUGUAUUUAAAACUCUUUAGACGUCAUCUGUUGUCUGUGUCUCCAUGACCUCUAAACCAGUGUGGCAAAAACAAAACCCCUCGGACCGGUGGUUUGACAUGAUUGAUUAUGUUUUGCAUGUCUCAUCUGGGGCUUUGGGUGUUGUGUGCACAUAGACUCUAGCUCCCCGGGGAAAGUUAAAGAGCUCUAAAAACAGUUGCCUUCUCUGCAUUUGUUUUGUUUUCCUCAUAAGAAUGUCCGGCAUUUUUUUUUUUUUUUUUUUUUUUUUACUGUGGCUGACGAGACGGGUGGGUCCUUCAGAGUCAGGGAACGCGCUUGUGUCCAAGCAGAUACUAAACAGGCACCGAAUCUUUGCACAUCGCUCUGGGCAGAGGGUUCUGAGAUGCCUCAGAAGCGGUCCCAGCUCAGGUCACAGGCACGCGAGUGUUUGAAUAGCGGUUUCCUAGCAAGGGGCACCCGCGCGGAGGUGUCCUGGACCAUAGUGACGUGUCAGAGUCUGCGUUUGGCUCCUUCAUUCACUCAGCAAGUGUGGAGAGCUGAGAAUUCAGAGCUGGACCAGAGACGUGAGGCUUCUCCCCUCAUGGACUGCCAUGCAGGAAUAAAAACUGGCCCCACGACCAAGUUCGGGCUGAUGGGAUAUAAGCAGAAGGGAGCUGGACAUAGAGGUCAGGGACUGGAUCCGAGCUGCAGAGGGAGCAAAAUAUGUUCUAGCCCUGGAGCUCAGCAGCUGCUCAGGCUGAUCGAUGAGAAAAGGACGUACCUGCCGCCGAUGGGUCCUCCCGGGCCAGUGUCUGUUGCAGCCGGGCCUCCUGGGGGCUGGGAGCCAGGGGCCUGGCUCGUUCUCAGUGACAGUGACAUGAUGCGGCCGGUGACUUCCAGCGGAGGGAGCGGUGGCAUGCUGGAACCAACCCGAAGCGCCUCAUAACUGCUGAUGGUCAAAUUUUCAGGAGUUUUGAGAGCAGGUUGUUCAACACAGUCAUUAUUAAAAAUUAGAUUACAGGGGCGCCUGGGUGGCUCAGUCGUUAAGCGUCCCCGACUUUGGCUCCGGGCACGAUCUCGCGGUUCGUGAGUUCGAGCCCCGCGUCGGGCUCUGUGCCGACGGCUCGGAGCCUGGAACCUGCUUCGGAUUCUGCAUCUCCCCCUCUCUCUCUCUGCCCCUCCCCUGCUCACGCUCUGUCUCUCUCUGUCAAAAAUGAAUAAAACUUGAGAAACAGAUUAAAAAUGAAAUUAC
ensembl:lncRNA